rnacentral:rRNA from 1 species
CCCCCCUUGGGGGGCGUAUGUGGCAGCAACCGCGGUAAUUACAGCCCCCAAAGGGGAAAUAAAGGUGGUCACGUAAAAAAGUGGGGGUGGCUUUCUUUUAUAAAUUUUAAAAAAAAUUUUAGUAAAUUUUAAAAACUUAAACUAAUUCAUAAUACUAUAAUUUUUAGGAUAAGAAUUUUACUUAAAAAAAUUAGAGGGGUUAAGCCGGCCUUUUGCUUUGAUCUCCAGCAGGAAAAUUUUAAGAUUUUAUUUUUUUAUGGUCUAGAAAGAUAAGAUUAUAGGGACAGUUGGGGCAUUGUAUUUUGCAGUCAGAGGUGAAAUUCUUAGAUUUGUUAAAGACAAACUAAUGCGAAAGCAUUUGCCAAGGAUGUUUUCAUAAUCAAGAACGAAAGUUAGGGGAUCGAAGACGAUCAGAAACCGUCGUGUCUAACCAGAAACUAUGCAAUCUAAAGACGGAGAGUU